UACGUAGGGUGCGAGCGUUAAUCGGAAUUACUGGGCGUAAAGCGUGCGCAGGCGGUCUGUUAAGACCGAUGUGAAAUCCCCGGGCUUAACCUGGGAACUGCAUUGGUGACUGGCAGGCUUUGAGUGUGGCAGAGGGAGGUAGAAUUCCACGUGUAGCAGUGAAAUGCGUAGAGAUGUGGAGGAACACCGAUGGCGAAGGCAGCCCCCUGGGCUAACACUGACGCUCAUGCACGAAAGCGUGGGGAGCAAACAGG
rnacentral:rRNA from 1 species